UACAGCAACCUGCCAAGUCGU
rnacentral:piRNA from 1 species